rnacentral:ribozyme from 14 species
ACAUUAUGAUAUUUCCUAUACACCAAUUCAUAUUCUUCUUCUUCUUCUUCCUUUUUUCUUCUUCUUCUCAAAGCUGAAUUUAAAAUAGGAUAUUCAGCAAGAGAAAGAGAGGCAGCCUUGAUCAUAAAGGGCAGAUAAGAGAUUUUUUUAUGAGAUU